rnacentral:tRNA from 1 species
GGAGAGAUGGCCGAGUGGCUGAAGGCACUCCCCUGCUAAGGGAGUAUAGGAGUAAUCUUAUCGAGGGUUCGAAUCCCUCUCUCUCCGCCA